CCUACGGGAGGCAGCAGUGGGGAAUCUUGCGCAAUGGGCGAAAGCCUGACGCAGCAACGCCGCGUGCGGGAUGAAGGCCUUCGGGUUGUAAACCGCUUUUAACAGGAACGAAAAUGACGGUACCUGUAGAAUAAGGUGCGGCCAACUACGUGCCAGCAGCCGCGGUGACACGUAGGCACCAAGCGUUGUCCGGAUUUAUUGGGCGUAAAGAGCUCGUAGGCGGUUCGAUAAGUCGGGUGUGAAAACUCUGGGCUUAACCCAGAGACGCCACUCGAUACUAUUGUGACUAGAGUUCGGUAGGGGAGCGGGGAAUUCCUAGUGUAGCGGUGAAAUGCGCAGAUAUUAGGAGGAACACCGGUGGCGAAGGCGCCGCUCUGGGCCGAAACUGACGCUGAGGAGCGAAAGCGUGGGUAGCAAACAGGAUUAGAUACCCUGGUAGUCCACGCCGUAAACGGUGGGCACUAGGUGUGGGCUCCAACCAACGGAGUCCGCGCCGUCGCUAACGCAUUAAGUGCCCCGCCUGGGGAGGUACGGCCGCGACGUAAACGUACAAUAGAUAGACGGCGUGAGACGNGCCGACGGCGACACGAGGGAGUAGG
rnacentral:rRNA from 1 species